UGUCUCCGCAGUGCUCGUCGACCUGCGGGAAGGGCCUGCAGUCCCGGGUGGUGCAGUGCAUGCACAAGGUCACAGGGCGCCACGGCAGCGAGUGCCCCGCCCUCUCGAAGCCUGCCCCCUACAGACAGUGCUACCAGCAGGUCUGCAACGACAGGAUCAACGCCAACACCAUCACCUCCCCCCGCCUUGCUGCUCUGACCUACAAAUGCACACGAGACCAGUGGACGGUGUAUUGCCGGGUCAUCCGAGAAAAGAACCUCUGCCAGGACAUGCGGUGGUACCAGCGCUGCUGCCAGACCUGCAGGGACUUCUAUGCAAACAAGAUGCGCCAGCCACCGCCGAGCUCGUGACGUGCAGUCCCGGAGGUCGCUCAAAGCUCAGACUCAGGUCUGAAACCCACCUACCCCCAAGCGUACCAGCCUUGUGGCCACGCCCCCACAAGGCUGCUGCAAGAAUCCAACUGCAUAGAACAUAAGCGUGGACUUGGCGUUUGCCAUUAGUGCUUCUGUACUUAAUAUAUUGUUAACAGCCACUGGAUGGCUUUCUACAGUGAGGAAAAAGUAGGCACGAGUCACAAAGUAACUUUAAUUUCCAGGAUUCCAGGUACCUCGAAGGGAAGCACCUCUGGCAGCCAACCGUCAAAAGAGAGACAUCAUUUAGUGUUCCUGUCUUGGCUCGCUUUUGACAUUUGAAUUUCCAGUGCUUGGUAUAUCAUGGAGAAAACAUCCCCAAAACGACACAUGUUAGAAAAGGCUUUAUUCUGAAAGCCGGCGACACCCUGGAGGGAGGGGCAGGUGUUGGUGAGCCUCUGCCCAUGGAGAGGGCCGGGCUGCUUAGCCCACGUUUCUCUUCGUCUUCCUUCUUGACCACAUGAGAACAAGGAUGAUGCCUCCGUGCCCGUCUCUGACAACAUAGUCUCUAAAUCCUAGGUGUUGCCUUGGAAGUCUCGUCCCUGAGAGUGUAAAUCUAUAUAUGCCAACGAGGACACCAGUGCCACGCAGUUCAUACCACCCACCUGGGAAGAAUGUUCCAAGAGAGUCUGGGUUUGGGGAAGCAUCUAAUUUUCAAAGCUCUGCUGUCCACCAUGUAGGGAAACAGAAGGGCCUCUCUUCAAGGUGCUGUGAAAUAAGAAACGGUAAUUGCGGCGAUGGGGUUGCUUCCUAAGGCAAAGAGAUGCUGUACCACAUCCCCGUGGCUUUCUACCGACCGUGGCCAUGUAUCUGAAGGUAAGAUGACAUUUGGGACCUCUGAGGACACAAGCCCAGGCCUAGGAUCUGUAGUGCAAGGCCUGACUGCUCUAUCCUGGCACGGAGCAGCCUGAUGUGCCGGGACCAGGGGAGGAACACCAUCUGGCUGGCACUGCUGCACACCCGCCGAGCCUUCCUGUAGCCCCAGACUUUGUGAUACCCGUUAUCAUCUCGCCUGUCAUCACUGACCCAUCUUCUUGGUGGGGCAAGGAUGAUGAAGGUCCUUCCCUCCUGCAGCCCCCUCACGCCUGGCAGCAGAGGGGCCUCUGAGAGCACAGAGGAUGGUAGACCCCUAUGUGCAAGCAGGCCGGGCAGGCUGGGGACAGGGACCCUAGAUGCCAGGGGGCCUGUUUUGCUCACCAACUUGGUGGGCAGUUCAUGGGUGCUUAUCUUCUAGGACUUUACCAUAAGCAACACCUCCUCCCUGAUUUCAG
rnacentral:sRNA from 1 species